AUUAUAUUUUUAACACAUUUUUGUGACUCAUUUUAACCCAUUCUAGAAAAGAGAGGAGGAGGAGAGGAGGAAGGGUGAGGAACAGAUUCGCCAACGGGAAGAGCUACGUGCAAAAGAAUUAUACUUGAGUCUGAAGAGAGCUCAGCAGCAACAUCAACGCAAUGAGAACGACGAGGAGGAGUGGCAAGAGCAAUUACGCAAGUCAAAGGCAGCCGAUGAAGAGCGCAAGCAUAAAGCCCGCAGAGCACGAGCUGAAUAUCACCGGCAAUCUCUUCGGGCCAUCCAGAAAGGAAAGGUAGCUGGGCUUAGUAAUCUUUUUCAGAAUACUACUCUAAACAAUGGGCAGGAGCCUACUCAAGAAAUUUGCAGUACACCCCCAAUCAAACUUCAACUACCUGUCGAAAAUGUAUGGGAACGACCAGCUCGGCCAAUAUCAAGGGAAGUCAUCAUCCGUUGGUUUAAAGAGGAGCAGAUGCCACUGCGUGCUGGCAUGGAAAAGGACAGUGAGCAGAUUUCAGCAUGGUUCCAUGGUAAAGUUUUGAAAUU